rnacentral:rRNA from 1 species
GACGAACGCUGGCGGCGUGCUUAACACAUGCAAGUCGAACGGAAAGGCCCUGCUUUUGUGGGGUGCUCGAGUGGCGAACGGGUGAGUAACACGUGAGUAACCUGCCCUUGACUUUGGGAUAACUUCAGGAAACUGGGGCUAAUACCGGAUAGGAGCUCCUGCUGCAUGGUGGGGGUUGGAAAGUUUCGGCGGUUGGGGAUGGACUCGCGGCUUAUCAGCUUGUUGGUGGGGUAGUGGCUUACCAGGCUUUGACGGGUAGCCGGCCUGAGAGGGUGACCGGCCACAUUGGGACUGAGAUACGGCCCAGACUCCUACGGGAGGCAGCAGUGGGGAAUAUUGCACAAUGGGCGGAAGCCUGAUGCAGCAACGCCGCGUGCGGGAUGACGGCCUUCGGGUUGUAAACCGCUUUCGCCUGUGACGAAGCGUGAGUGACGGUAAUGGGUAAAGAAGCACCGGCUAACUACGUG